UACAGAGGUCUCAAGCGUUGUUCGGAUUCAUUGGGCGUAAAGGGUGCGUAGGUGGCGCGCUAAGUCAGGUGUGAAAUUUCGGAGCUUAACUCCGAAACUGCAUUUGAUACUGGCGUGCUUGAGGACUGGAGAGGAGACUGGAAUUCAUGGUGUAGCAGUGAAAUGCGUAGAGAUCAUGAGGAAGACCAGUGGCGAAGGCGGGUCUCUGGACAGUUCCUGACACUGAGGCACGAAGGCCCAGGGGGAGCAAACGGG
rnacentral:rRNA from 1 species